rnacentral:RNase_P_RNA from 1 species
UCAGUCGGCCGGACGGCCGCUCCGGCAGGGGCCGAAAGGACGCCGGGGAGGAAAGUCCGGGCUCCCUUGACAUACGGUGCCGGAUAACGUCCGGCGAGGGUGACCUUAGGGAAAGUGCCACAGAGAACGAACCGCCCGCCGUCGCCCCUUCGGGGGCUUUGGCGAGGUAAGGGUGAAAAGGUGCGGUAAGAGCGCACCGCGGCUCCGGCAACGGAGCCGGCAUGGUAAACCCCACCGGGAGCAAAACCGAAUAGGGACGGCUUAAGCGGGCUGUUCGCGCAAGCGAUAACGCCGCGGGGCGAUGUCAGGCCCGCCGUCCGGGUAGGUUGCUCGAGGCCAUGUGCAAACAUGGUCCCAGAGGAAUGGCCGUCACGUAUCGUUCGCGCAAGCGGACGGUGCCUUACAGAACCCGGCUUACAGGCCGGCUGAUAUC